rnacentral:rRNA from 1 species
AGUGAACGCUGGCGGUAGGCCUAACACAUGCAAGUCGAACGGCAGCACAGUAAGAGCUUGCUCUUACGGGUGGCGAGUGGCGGACGGGUGAGGAAUACAUCGGAAUCUACUUUUUCGUGGGGGAUAACGUAGGGAAACUUACGCUAAUACCGCAUACGACCUACGGGUGAAAGCAGGGGAUCUUCGGACCUUGCGCGAUUGAAUGAGCCGAUGUCGGAUUAGCUAGUUGGCGGGGUAAAGGCCCACCAAGGCGACGAUCCGUAGCUGGUCUGAGAGGAUGAGGAGGAAGAAGGGGAAAAGAACAAGGACAGGACGCAUACGGGAGGCAGCAGUGGGGGGUAGUUGAAGAAGGGCUGAAGGUUGAUCAAGCCAUUAAGCGUGAAAGAAGAAGGGCUUCUGAUUGCCAAGCUCUUUUGAUGGGAAAGAAAAACAAAAGGUUAAAAACCUGCGGUUCUGAAGGUACCCAAAGAAUAAGCACCGGCUCACUUCAUG